AAAUGAUCCAGUGAAACUAUAAAAAAAAAUGAUGAUUUUCUACUAUCAGCAGCAAUGGGCUUGGAAAAUGUAAAAAAGUGUAUUCUAUGGUAUUUAUUUUAAGUUGAAAAGCAAUUUCAAAAUUGGCUGCCAUAAACUAGACUGCGUGAUAACGGUCUGUCAUUUUUAUUUUCCGACAACAAUAAUAUAUUUUCAAUUUACAAAAGGGCAGACGUGGUCAAAUGGAUUUAAACUUUGUUAAAAAUUGAUACAUGUCUUACCUUAGCGCUGAUUACCUGAUUACUCAUAGAAUUUAAUACAUUUUGUUUGGAAGUUACAAGUCAUCAAGCUGGAUCGCGAAUCAACAGAACAAAUAUUUCAACAUUUAGAAGCUGAAAAUCAAAUAAUGGAAAGUUUUUAUAAUAAAACACAUAAGCGUCCUUUUACGGUUUUAUUUUGUGCUGAAAAGUAGUAUAAUUCACAAAAAAAUAAAUAAAAUUAGUAAACUAAAGGACAAACGCGAUAAUAAAAUUUCAACGUUAAAACAAAAUCUAGUAUAAAAAAAAUAUGUGUAACUAAGAAUAUUAUCAAUGAAAGUAUCAAUUUCCUUUCAUUUGAAGAACUACACUUAAAAAGUACAAAAAAUAAGGAAUCGGGUGAAAAAGAGAAAAGGGAUAAAUAUUAAAAUGUAUAAAAUAGUUAGGUUAAGUAUCUCUAAUAAAUUUAUGCAAAACAUCUUACAAAAAGGCCAAUUUGUGAAGUCUCAUAAAAAUCAUCUGAUAAUUUUGGCAAAACAUAAUUACAAAAUUAUCUACAGUACAAAUGAUUUGUUGUUAAUGUUAAUCUCUCGUAUUCGACAUUUCAACAUAAAUCAAACGAGUUAGGCAUCUACUAUUAUCUUUAAACAGUACAUUCCUUGUAACAUUAAUAGAUGGUUCCAAAGUUCCAACAUGGUAAACAAAGAUAUACAAUCAUUACUUUAGGCCUUUGAAUCUUCCACAUUUGUGAAGGCAUAUGCAUUCAUAUUUUUUCGUAACGAGCAUUUUCCAAUAAAAAUGCCGUUGAAUAUAAUCUAACUCAAUUUUUCAAAAUAAUAUUAAAUUUGUCAUACUUCCAAUAUUUUCAAAUUUAAAUAUAUUUGACUCUUUUCAAAAUAUUUUUUCUAAAAAUUUUAGGGUUUUACACACCUUCUGCAUAUCUUGCCUAAACAACUGUUAUACAUUUUUUAAUGAUCGAAGAAACACUCUUACUUUCGUCGUUUCGUUAACUUUUAUGUGAUAUUCUUCUCAAAAUUGGAAACAAUGCACCUGAACUCUUCCGCUUUAUUAAUAUAUUCUUGAGAGAUUUCAACUCCCUAUUGUUAGUGGUAAAAAUGAGCCAGCACCUUUUAGUUCAACUGUUUUAUCAUUCAAAAUUCCCUAUCAGAAAAUAAAGUUAUUUUAAAUAAUCACAACAAUUAAACAAUCAUUAAAAACUGACAAUAAAAAAUGGAAAGACUGAUUUUCAAAGGAUUUCAUUUUUAAUACUUGUAACAGCCUCUUUAAAAAAAAUGAUACAGUGAAUGAUCCAAAUUUGGAGUAAUGAGAGGAAGACUUCACUAAAAUGAAAUUUAGCACCCAAUCAUAGAAUUUAGUGGAUAAUAAAACUAAAUAAUUUUUAUUAUAUACAGAAGAGUGCACAGCAAUCACAACAGCACACCUAAGCAGUAAAAAGCUCAACUUAGGAUAUAUAUAUCUAGAUAUUUUUAUUGACAUUUUAUAUGGUCAAAUGGUUUAAUAUUAAUAGUGUAUGUAUAUAUUAAACUUAAAAAUAUAUCUUGUUACAGUAAAA